rnacentral:rRNA from 1 species
GACGAACGCUGGCGGCGUGCUUAACACAUGCAAGUCGAACGAAGUGGCGAACGGGUGAGUAACGCGUAAUCAACCUGCCCUUCAGAGGGGGACAACAGUUGGCAACGACUGCUAAUACCGCAUACUGAAGGAGGGGAUUUCGUCUGAUUAGCUAGUUGGAGUGGUAACGGCCCACCAAGGCGAUGAUCAGUAGCCGGUAUGAGAUGGAGAACGGCCACAUGGAGACUGAGACACGACCCAGACUCCUACGGGAGGAGGCAGGGGGGAAUCUGCCGCAAUGGAAGAAAGUCUAACGGAGCAACGACGCGUGAGUGAUGACGGCCUUCGGGUUGUAAAGCUCUGUUAAUCGGGACGCGGUACCGGAAUAGAAAGCCACGGCUAACUACGUGCCAGCCACCGCGGUAAUUC